CCCUUGGUAGUCUAGUUGGUUAUGGCGUUCGGCUGUAAUUGUGAACAUGAUUGUUACCGAAAAGUCACCGGUUCGAUUCCGGUCCGAGGGA
rnacentral:tRNA from 1 species